rnacentral:rRNA from 1 species
UACAGAGGGUGCAAGCGUUAAUCGGAGUUACUGGGCGUAAAGGGCGCGUAGGUGGUAAGUUAAGUGAGAUGUGAAAGACCUGGGCUUAACCUGGGAAUGGCAUCUUAUACUGGCUUUCUGGAGUACUGUAGAGGGUAGUGGAAUUUCCGGUGUAGCGGUGAAAUGCGUAGAGAUCGGAAGGAACACCAGUGGCGAAGGCGGCUACCUGGACAGAUACUGACACUGAGGCGCGAGAGCGUGGGGAGCAAAC